UAACUAAAGGAGCAAUUCGCUUGGGAGGGACCUCGCGUCCCAUCAGCUAGUUGGUGAGGUAAUGGCUCACCAGGCUACGACGGGUAGGGACCUGAGAGGGUGACCCCCCACAAUGGAACUGAAACACGGUCCAUACACCUACGGGUGGCAGCAGUAGGAAUAUUGCACAAUGGGCGAAAGCCUGAUGCAGCAACGCCGCGUGUGCGAUGAAGGCCCUCGGGUCGUAAAGCACUUUUCUGAGAGAUGAGCAAGGACAGUAUCUCAGGAAUAAGUCUCGGCUAACUACGUGCCAGCAGCCGCGGUAAAACGUAGGAGGCAAGCGUUAUCCGGAUUCACUGGGCGUAAAGCGCGUGCAGGCGGUUCGGUAAGUUGGGUAUGAAAUCUCCUGGCUUAACUAGGAGAGGUUAUCCAAUACUACCGGACUUGAGAGUGGUAGAGGAAGAUGGAAUUCCCGGUGUAGUGGUGAAAUGCGUAGAUAUCGGGAGGAACACCAGUGGCA
rnacentral:rRNA from 1 species